CCUCUGCCUCAGUCUCCUCUUCUGGAAAGUGGGAUUGGAAACCACAUCUGCUUCUCUCCCAGGACUGCUAGGAAGACAAGAUUAGAUGGCAGGAAGGAAAAUACAUGUACAGCCAACUUCCUUGAGGAUUCGUUCUUUUGCAUCAGGGUGUCUCAAACUCCUGCCCUUAAAACACCUGCAAGAGAAUCAUCCAGGUGGCUUGCUCACUCUGCAUGCAGACCCUUUAGAAUCAGAGUCAGAAUCCCUGGGGCUGGAGCCACAAAAUGAAAUGACAUUUCAACAAGUUUGUCAUCACGUAAGAGAGAAUAGCUUGUCUUCUUCUCUCCCAGUAGAUUCUUCAUGAAGAGGCCAUGUGCUAUAUUCCAUGAGAUAUUUCACACUCAAAGAAGACUUCUUUUAUACUCUUUUGAUAAUUUGUCUGGGAAUCACUGUCUUGAUUUAUAAGGGAGUUUGUAAUAAAUACAGUAAAAGAGAAACACACAACGUAUUUUGAGACAUCAGAGAAGGGAGACACCAAUUCUAUUAAUAUUUGGGGUUAGCAGGGAAGGCUUAGUUAAGAGGUAACAUUUGAACUAAGCCUUGAAAUAAGGGAAGGAUUUGGCCAUGCAGUAAUGGGGAGAGAGUAGAAGCAAGACCUGAUAGUUAGUGUUAUGUAUCAAUUUGACUGGGCUGUGGGGUGCCCAAAUAUUUGGCUACACAUUAUUCUGGGUGUGUCUCUGAGGUAUUCUGGAUGAGGAUAACAUUUAAUUGGUAGACUGAAUAAAGCAGAUUGUCCUCCCCAAUGUGGGUGAGCCUCAUCCAAUCCACUGAAGGCCUGAACAAAACAAAAAGGUAAAGUCACAGAGAAUUUGCUCUUUUUACCUGAUUAUAUUUGAGCUGGGACAUCAAUCUUCUCCUGACUUUAGAUGUGGACUCGAGUUGGAACUAUAUCAUUGGCUGUCCUGGGUCCCCAGCUUGCUGGCUGCAGACUCCAGGACUCCUUAUCCUCCAUAACCAUGUGAGCCAUCCCUUACAACUAAUCAAUCUGUCUCUCUCUAUGUGUAUAGCUCUACCUCUAUCUCUCUGCUCUUUCUCUGGAGAACCUAGAGUAAUACACAAGGUUAUAUUAGAGAAGAGGAUGACCCAAGGGAAAGCAUGGAGACAGAAAAGUGCAAAGAGCAUUUGGGAAGACUGGGGUCCUGAUGGGGAGCUUGAAUUUCACUGUGUGUAGCAUGGAGAAUUAUUGAAAAUAUUCAAGAGGUGAAAAUUGUAUUCAUGGAAGAACACCAGGAGUAUGUGAAAAGAAAAACACUCACUCCAUUUUAACUCCACUGAAGGGGGCAUCAAAGGAAUGCACUGGGGACAUGGGUUGGAGGGUAGUUGAGGCCAUAUCUGGAGGAACUUUACUUCUAGGCUGAGUCUGAAGUUAUCUUUCUGGGGAGUGGGAGAUUACAAAUCUUUGAGCUCCACUCAAGAGAUGGUUUUGCUAACAAUGGCAGGGCGACGGUGGUGGUGGUGGUGGUGGUGGUGGUGGUGGUGGUGGUGGUGGUGGGAAACUGGUAUCAUGAAUUCUAAUUGGGCUUCUGUUAUCCUAGCCGAGAAAGUUGGGGAACGGACUUUCAGUAGAAUAAUAGAGAUCUGGGAAUCAACUGCAUGGAGGAGGUAGUUAUAGGUGAUGAGAUGGCUCAGGGACAAAGUUUGGUAGAAGGAGAAAAUUUACUAGGCUGGUACAAAAAUAAUUGCUAUUUUUGCCAUUACUUUUAAUGGCAAAAUCCGCAAUUACUUUUGCACCAACCUAAUAGGGUGCAAACUUCGGAGCCAUCUGCAUCAGAGGGAUUGAUGAAGAUCAACAAAGUUUGGGAACACAGGAAAGGAGCGGGGAAGGUAAUGACUUGAGGGCAUAGCAGGGAUAAUCAAGGUUUUUCUUGUUAGCAUGUAGAGACUUAAGCAUGAUUCUAUGUUAAACGCCUGGCACAUACAUGGUGCAAAAUAUUUAUGAGUGAAAUGACAAGUGAAGGUGGUGAGUCAUGGGAGUUCCAAGGGAACGGGUGAUAAAGGGAGGUCUCAAAUGAGGCACAAGUGGAGAAGGUAGCUUGGGAAAGGAGAAGGAUGCUUCUCCUUAUAACAUGGGAAAGGCAGAGGAAGAGGGUCAAGGUACAGUGAUCUAGGGGUGAGAUGGAAGUGAGUUGAGAGAACUCAACUCUGGGCUCUGAAAUCCCUAGGGAUGGGUUUGGGGGGCUUUGAGAUAUGUAAGAGGUUUAAAGUCAGUUGUUCUAGCAAAUAUGGUUUGGAAUUUAUUUGUGAUGCUUAAAAAUAUUGCUGAACAGAAGUGAAGUCUAUCCUAGAGUUGGAUGGUGAGAUUAUUUAGUGGAACUACCAGAUCCAUGUUGUGAUUCUUUCCAGUAUCAUUCAGCAGCCCUUGGGCAGUUGCGAGGCAAGUCAUCAAUGGGGUAUGGAGAUUUUCCAGGUGGGUGUGGUUGAAGGCAGGGAAGAACGAGUUCAGGAGCACAUUACAAGAAGAAGGUGACUGUAAGGUCCAGGCUGAGCAGGAAGGUAAAGCAAGAAGGAAACAUGAGGUUGUGAAGAGAAGUUUAGAGGGAUGAGGAGGCAGGAGAGAUGAACAGUUGCAGGAUGUAGCUAGAGUGGCGAUGUUAGAUCUUGGGGCCAGAGAACUUUACAAUGAUUAUGAAGAUCAAAGGGCAUUAGAAUCAAGCUAUAAAGAGCCACUGUUUGAUGUUGGGAUGUGAGGAUGCUGCAGGUGGAUGUCUGCACGUUGAUGGUGAGAACAUGGUCACCCUGGCCCUGCUGGGUCUUUGCUAAAGAGACUGUGCUCUGUUCUUGGGGCCGUUUUCAUCACCUGAUUAGAGCAGUGGUCCCCACAUGGUGUUCUUUGGACCAUCUGUAUAAAAUGUUCAUAGGUCAAGGAUAAAAUGGAAAAACAGAGAAAAUGUCACAGAAAUGUGCCCAUUGGUGAAAGACCACCAGCUGUCCUUUUUGGAGGAUUGUUCUUUAUUCCAAAAAUGUAUAUAUUCUAUUCUAUUAAAACAUUUUUGUAUUUGCA